UGCAUAUCAAAAAGCGGAGGAAAAGAAACUAACAAGGAUUCCCCUAGUAACGGCGAGUGAAGUGGGAAAAGCUCAACUUUGAAAUCUGGUACUUUCAGUAUCCGAAUUGUAGUCUCAAGAAGUGUUUUCUGUGCCGGUCCAUGUAUGAGUCUGUUGGAACACAGCGUCAUAGAGGGUGACAACCCCGUUCAUGACAUGGAUCCCGGUGCUUUGUGAUACACUCUCGAAGAGUCGAGUUGUUUGGGAAUGCAGCUCAAAUUGGGUGGUAAAUUCCAUCUAAAGCUAAAUAUUGGCGAGAGACCGAUAGCAAACAAGUACCGUGAGGGAAAGAUGAAAAGCACUUUGGAAAGAGAGUUAACAGUACGUGAAAUUGUUGAAAGGGAAACGAUUGAAGUCAGACGUGCGUGAUGCGGUUCAGCUUUAGUUCGCUAGAGUGUACUCCGUAUCUUUGCAGGCCAGCAUCGGUUUUGUUAGUCGGAUAAAGGUUUGAGAAAUGUGGCAUCUUCGGAUGUGUUAUAGUCUCAGACUGAAUACGAUUGAUGGGACCGAGGAACGCAGCGCGCCGCAAGGCAAAGGUUCCGACCUUUUCGCGCUUAGGAUGCUGGUGAAAUGGCUUUAAACGACCCGUCUUAAACACAC
rnacentral:rRNA from 1 species